rnacentral:rRNA from 1 species
GACGAACGCUGGCGGCGUGCUUAACACGUGCAAGUCGAACGGUGAAGCUCCAGCUUGCUGGAGUGGAUCAGUGGCGAACGGGUGAGUAACACGUGAGCAACCUGCCCCUGACUCUGGAAUAAGCGCUGGAAACGGCGUCUAAUACUGGAUACGAGAAGGGCCCGCAUGGGCACUUUCUGGAAAGUUUUUCGGUUGGGGAUGGGCUCGCGGCCUAUCAGCUUGUUGGUGAGGUAAUGGCUCACCAAGGCGACGACGGGUAGCCGGCCUGAGAGGGCGACCGGCCACACUGGGACUGAGACACGGCCCAGACUCCUACGGGAGGCAGCAGUGGGGAAUAUUGCACAAUGGGCUAAAGCCUGAUGCAGCGACGCCGCGUGAGGGAUGACGGCCUUCGGGUUGUAAACCUCUUUCGGCAGGGAAGAAGCGAAAGUGACGGUACCUGCAGAAGAAGCACCGGCUAACUACGUG